GAUGAACGCUGGCGGCGUGCUUAACACAUGCAAGUCGAGCGAAGCGCUCACGCGGAAUUUUUCGGAAGGAAGCGGGAGUGACUUAGCGGCGGACGGGUGAGUAACGCGUGGGUAACCUGCCCCAUACCGGGGGAUAACGGUUAGAAAUGACCGCUAAUACCGCUUAAGCGCGCGAGGCCGCAUGGCCACGCGCGAAAAACUCCGGUGGUAUGGGAUGGGCCCGCGUCUGAUUAGGUAGUUGGCGGGGUAAAGGCCCACCAAGCCGACGAUCAGUAGCCGACCUGAGAGGGUGGCCGGCCACAUUGGGACUGAGACACGGCCCAA
rnacentral:rRNA from 1 species